AACCAUCGGCCGUGUGACCCAGCAAAGGUUUCCAAACUUGUGAACAAAGUGUAUCACAUGUACAACAGACACCAGCAUCCAUGUGUUGUUCUGAACAUAUGUGUGGACUCAGAGUCUGUUGACAUCAAUGUAACACCCGACAAAAGGCAAAUAUUUCUGCAAGAAGAAAAGUUUUUACUAGCAGUUCUAACAACUUCAAUGAUGGAAAUGUUUGGC